rnacentral:rRNA from 1 species
GAUCAGGUAGGGAUACCCGCUGAACUUAAGCAUAUCAAUAAGCGGAGGAAAAGAAACCAACAGGGAUUACCUCAGUAACGGCGAGUGAAGCGGUAAAAGCUCAAAUUUGAAAUCUGGCCCUUUCAGGGUCCGAGUUGUAAUUUGUAGAAGAUGUUUCGGGUGUGGCUCCGGGCUAAGUUCCUUGGAACAGGGCGUCAUAGAGGGUGAGAAUCCCGUAUGUGCCUGGCAGCCUACGCCUAUGUGAAACUCUUUCGACGAGUCGAGUUGUUUGGGAAUGCAGCUCAAAAUGGGUGGUAAAUUUCAUCUAAAGCUAAAUAUUGGCCAGAGACCGAUAGCGCACAAGUAGAGUGAUCGAAAGAUGAAAAGCACUUUGGAAAGAGAGUUAAACAGUACGUGAAAUUGUUGAAAGGGAAGCGCUUGCAAUCAGACUUGGGCCUAGGCGAUCAUGUAGGGUUCUCCCUGCUGCACUCGGUUAGGCCCAGGCCAGCAUCGGUUUUGGUGGUGGGAUAAAGGCCCUGGGAAU